AAACGACUCUCGGCAACGGAUAUCUCGGCUCUCGCAUCGAUGAAGAACGUAGCGAAAUGCGAUACUUGGUGUGAAUUGCAGAAUCCCGUGAACCAUCGAGUCUUUGAACGCAAGUUGCGCCCGAAGCCUUUUGGCCAAGGGCACGUCUGCCUGGGCAUCACGCAU
rnacentral:rRNA from 1 species